GUAAAUGGUGGAGUAGGCAUUUGAACUUUUCAGUCUCACAGAAGAGCCAAGAAGACAGACAGACAUAGAGACAGAGCAUGUUCAGAGUGCCCAGAUCAGUCUGAGAUUUUGAUGAAUGCCUAUACAACCAGCAAGAGCCAGUUACAGGGGGCAUUAGGAGCUGAACAGGGACUGCACACUUCCAGCCAGGUGGCUCUCUCUCACUUUCUGUGUUCUUCCCUUCCUUGUCGCUGCUGGCUAUCAUCGCACAGACCCUUCAACUCCAUGGAUAUGUCAAGCCCCAACUCUCUCCAGCUCAAUGAAUGGCACAAUCAUCUCCCAGUUACUCAUGCCGGAAACCUGGGAGUCAUCUGUGCUUUUGUACACAAUGUUCCCUCUGGCCCUGGCACAUAGUAGGUGCUAAUAAAUGUCUCUUGAACUGAACUUAA